ACGAUCCUGCCCACAAUUCCAAACACAUUCGUGGCCUCUGUACAACUGCUUAGGUUCUCACCUACCUCCCCUUUCAGUGUCUUUCCUCUCUUAUUUACUCCUUGAGGAGUCUCACCAAAGUCCCUCGCCCAAGGCUUGUUUCUCAUCUAGAUGGACAACCUGACACAGGGCCCCAAUAGCUGCUAUAACUUAGUGCAUCUUAUAAUACCAAUUAUAUUUGCUGCCAAGCAAUAAACGUUUCAUUUGCUUUUGCCCACAAAAAGCUUUAUUGUCUCUAUGUCGUCCAUAGCUUGGAAGAGAGCUCGAGAAUGAUUAAAACGCUGCCCGCAGGCUGCAGGGAGAGGCUCAGGCUGAAGCCCUGACUCUGGAUGGGUGCAGAGGGCCCCCUCAGGGGCCUCUGGGCUGUCAAGGAUCUAGUCCAAAUCUUCUUGAUGAGUUUCACGCGCUCGAGGGCGCGCGCGGAGAGCUCCAGGAAGGAGCUGGCGGUCUGCACUGAAGGACCAAGGGCACGCGGGUCCAAAAGCACCCAGCUUGGUUCUUCUCCCGGGCCAUGGAGGCUUCCACAGCACCCAGGGUCUUGCCUCACUCAUCAUGGGACGGCGCCUGCAGGUUCUGGAAGAGGGGCCUGUGCCACACUGGUUUGGCAUCUUGCAGGAAUGCUGGGCGCCCUGGCACUUCUCGGCUGGUCGGUGGACAUGCCCACUCCUCCCAAGGCACCGAGUCACGGGGCAAAUAGAGGCGCUGGGAGAGGAGAACAGAAGCAGAGAGAAGGAGGAACUCUUUAAGACUGUGAAAGAAUUGGUGGCCUUUGACUUGUUCUUCAGGUAGCAGAGAUCUGUACCCAGCUCUCUCGAAGCAUCCUGAGGAAGAACUUGGAGAGGAGUGACUGUGUGGCCCCCCCAGAGAGACUGGAUCAUAGAGGCUGGGCUUUUCAGCCCUGGCAAAGAGUUCAGAGCAAGCUUGGCAGGAGUCAGCAGAGCUGUCUGAACUUAACAGAGUGUCAGCACUUGGGCAGUGAGCGCUUGGUGACUGGUGUGGACUGAAUACAAAGGGGCUUCAUCCAAGUGAUGUCAUCUAGGUAAGUUCCCAGAGGCCUUCUCACAAUACCUACAGGCCCAGUGAGCUGAUGACUUAUCUUCAUAUCUGUUUUGAUUUUGGAGCAAAA
rnacentral:lncRNA from 1 species